rnacentral:rRNA from 1 species
AAUAGCCUAACGGCUGAACCAGCAACUUGGAGGAAGGCAGUAGUAUUAGAGCAAAUACCAGUGGUUUAUCCACAUGAACUUCUAGAUAGAGCACAGACAAAUGACUAUUUUCUAUCUAUAUGUCUUGACUAACACACGUGCCAGCAGUCGCGGUAAGACGGGAAAGACUGGUGUUAGUCAUCAUUAUUAGGUUUAAAGGGUACCUAGACGGUGUUUUUUGUUCCAUAGCGGAGGUACACUAACAACUAGAGUUUUGCGGGAGAGGGUAUAAUUUAGAAUUGACAGAGGAGAGUUAAAAUUCAUUGAUACUGUUAGGUACUUAUAACGGCGAAAGCUUUCCUCUAUCUAAAAACUGACGUUGAGGGACGAAGGCUUGGGGAGCGAAUAGGAUUAGAUACCCUAGUAGUCCAAGCAGAAAAUUAUGAGUGUUAUAGGUUAAUAUUUAUUUGAUCUAUGAAUAAAAGUGUAAGCACUCCACCUCAAGAGUAACGCGGCAACGUCGGAACUGAAAUCAUUAGACCGCGUCUGAAACCAGUAGUGAAGUAUGUUAUUUAAUUCGAUGAUCCUCGAAAAACCUUACCACAAUUUGAAUAUUAUUUAGUUAUUACAAGUGUUGCACGGCUGUCUUCAGUUGAUGUCGUGAGAUGCAGGUUAGCUCCAUAAAUCAACGUAAACCCUUGCUUUAUUUUUUAUAUAUAGCAGUUCCCCGCAAUAUUGGAUUAGAUAACAGGGACCAAGACAAGUCAUCAUGACCUUAACAUUGUGGGCUAUAGACGUGCCACAUAUACCUAGACAAUGGGAUGCCAAAAUGCAAAUACUUAGCUAAUCCCCAAAAUAGGUUACAUUGA